CAGUCGCCGCGGUAAUACGUAGGUGGCAAGCGUUGUCCGGAAUUAUUGGGCGUAAAGGGCUCGCAGGCGGUUUCUUAAGUCUGAUGUGAAAGCCCCCGGCUCAACCGGGGAGGGUCAUUGGAAACUGGGAAACUUGAGUGCAGAAGAGGAGAGUGGAAUUCCACGUGUAGCGAUGAAAUGCGUAGAGAUGUGGAGGAACACCAGUGGCGAAGGCGACUCUCUGGUCUGUAACUGACGCUGAGGAGCGAAAGCGAGGGGAGCGAACAGGAUUAGAUACCCCCGUAGUCCCUGUCUCUUAUAC
rnacentral:rRNA from 1 species